UACAGAGGGUGCAAGCGUUGUCCGGAAUCACUGGGCGUAAAGGGCGCGUAGGCGGCCUGAUAAGUCGGGGGUGAGAUUCUGCGGCUUAACCGCAGGACGGCCUUCGAGACUGUCGGGCUUGAGCACGGCAGAGGCAGGUGGAAUUCCUGGUGUAGCGGUGAAAUGCGCAGAUAUCAGGAGGAACACCGGUGGCGAAGGCGGAUCUCUGGGCCAUUACUGACGCUGAGGAGCGAAAGCGUGGGGAGCGAACAGG
rnacentral:rRNA from 1 species